GACGGAAGGUGCAAGCGUUGCUCGGAAUCACUGGGCGUAAAGGGUGCGUAGGCGGCUUGGUGGGUCUGGUGUGAAAGCCCCGGGCUCAGCCCGGGAAGGGCACUAGAAACUGCCGAGCUGGAGUGCCGGAGGGGAGAGUGGAAUUCCUGGUGUAGCGGUGAAAUGCGUAGAUAUCAGGAGGAACACCGGUGGCGAAGGCGGGUCUCUGGACAGUUCCUGACGCUGAGGCACGAAGGCCAGGGGAGCAAACGGG
rnacentral:rRNA from 1 species